AUUUGAGAAUGUGAAGGUUUUGGUGAUAGAUCAGAAAAUUUCAGCGAUUAAGGACAUAGUUCCUCUGUUAGAGAAGACCACACAACUGAGAUCACCUUUGCUUAUUAUUGCCGAAGAUGUCACUGGUGAGGGUUUGGCCACUCUAGUUGUGAACAAGUUACGUGGUAUUCUCAAUGUUGCUGCCAUAAAGGUACCUGGUUUUGUUGAGAGGCGAAAGGCUUUGCUUCAAGACAUUGCAAUUUUGACAG